GGCCUUGUGGCGCAAUGGUAGCGCGUUUGACUCCAGAUCAGGAGGUUGUGUGUUCAAAUCGCAUCAAGGUCA